rnacentral:rRNA from 1 species
UACGUAGGGGGGCAAGCGUUGUCCGGAAUCAUUGGGCGUAAAGAGCGUGUAGGCGGCCCGGUAAGUCCGCUGUGAAAGUCAAAGGCUCAACCUUUGAAUGUCAGCGGAUACUGCCGGGCUAGAGUCCGGAAGAGGCGAGUGGAAUUCCUGGUGUAGCGGUGAAAUGCGCAGAUAUCAGGAGGAACACCGAUGGCGAAGGCAGGUCUCUGGGCAUUAACUGACGCUGAGGAGCGAAAGCAUGGGGAGCGAACAGG